rnacentral:rRNA from 1 species
GAUGAACGCUGACAGAAUGCUUAACACAUGCAAGUCUACUUGAUCCUUCGGGUGAUGGUGGCGGACGGGUGAGUAACGCGUAAAGAACUUGCCUUGCAGUCUGGGACAACGUCUGGAAACGGACGCUAAUACCGGAUAUUAUGGUUGAAUCGCAUGAUUUGAUUAUGAAAGCUAUAUGCGCUGCGAGAGAGCUUUUGCGUCCCAUUAGCUAGUUGGUGAGGUAACGGCCCACCAAGGCAAUGAUGGGUAGCCGGCCUGAGAGGGUGGACGGCCACGAAGGGGACUGAGACACGGCCCUU